GUGACGGUCACCAUUGUGCCUUUUCCCCAGUAGUCAAAGUAUGCUGUCCCCUCUCGAGCACAAUAAUAAACAGCAGAAUCUUCAGUCUUCAGACUGUUCAUCUGCAGAUACAGCUGCUGUCUGCUGUUGUCUCUGGAGAUGGUAAACCGGCCUUGGACUGACUGAGAGUAG